AAAUAUCAUCAAAUUUUGGCAUCUUGUCAAUAUUUGGAUCAUGUCAAAGAAGCUAUUACUAUUACUGUGGAUCGCUCUUUGGAAAUCAAUAGGUCUUCAAGUUGCUAUCAUUGGAACGUGAUGAAAAUUACGUCGUUCAAAUGUUGUUACCUUGCAUAGUCCUGAAAUUAAUAUACCUUUUUGGUAUUUUUUCA
rnacentral:misc_RNA from 1 species